CUACGGGGGGCUCCAGUGAGGAAUAUUGCACAAUGGGGGGAACCCUGAUGCAGCAACGCCGCGUGGAGGAUGACGCAUUUCGGUGUGUAAACUCCUUUUAUAUGUCAAGAAAAUGACGGUAGCAUAUGAAUAAGCACCGGCUAACUCCGUGCCAGCAGCCGCGGUAAUACGGAGGGUGCAAGCGUUACUCGGAAUCACUGGGCGUAAAGGACGCGUAGGCGGGUUGGAAAGUCAGGUGUGAAAUCCUACAGCUUAACUGUAGAUCUGCACUUGAAACUUCUAAUCUAGAGUAUGGGAGGGGGAGAUGGAAUUAGUGGUGUAGGGGUAAAAUCCGUAGAUAUGACUAGGAAUACCUAAAGCGAAGGCGAUCUCCUGGAACAUUACUGACGCUAAGGCGUGAAAGUGUGGGGAGCAAACAGGAUUAGAUACCCGGGUAGUC
rnacentral:rRNA from 1 species